rnacentral:rRNA from 1 species
ACGCUGGCGGCGUGCUUAAUACAUGCAAGUCAACUUGACUUUAGAUAGCAAUAUCGAAAAGUAGGGUGGCGCACGGGUGCGUAACGCGUAGGUAAUCUGCCCUGAGGUCUGACAUAACCCGUCGAAAGGCGGGCUAACAUCAGAUGAUAUAUAAUCACGACAUCGUGGAAAUAUCAAAUCUUCGGAGCCUUGGGAUGAGCCUGCGUCUGAUUAGGUAGUUGGCGGAGUAAUAGCCCACCAAGCCUACGAUCAGUAGAUGGUCUGAGAGGAUGAUCAGCCACACUGGAACUGAGACACGGUCCAGACUCCUACGGGAGGCAGCAGUAAGGAAUAUUGCUCAAUGGGGGAAACCCUGAAGCAGCAACGCCCGCGUGAAGGAUGAAAUACUUUGUAUGUAAACUUCUGUAAGAUGGGAAAAAUAUUCUCCUCGGGAGAAUUGAUUGUACCAUCAGAGUAAGCCCCGGCUAACUACGUG